CAGCAAGUAGCUAUUUCCUUCUGGUCUGGCUUGUGGGAAUCUAGAGGGUGUCCGUCGCCACCAUAAGUGGUGAGUUCUGCCCAGCGCCAGUGUUUUAGAGGAGUCUUGAGAUUUGACACAUUUCA
ensembl:snoRNA